AGAUAAAAGCAUCUAAGUGGAAAAUAUUAUUGAAAAUGAACACAGUUGCAUCAGGUAAAAACAAAUAAGCACAGCAACAAGGAAGGAGAGAAGAGUAACUAAUAAACUCCUAAGCACCAUAGGGAGGCCUAACAAUAGCACACUAAGCUUAAAAUUGGGUUAGAAACCCAUUCAAACCAAUACAUAGUUGCCCCUAAACGAAAACACAUUAUUUGUGCAUAACAUCUUAAUUAUUAUUUUCUUCCUCAUAUACAAGGGGAAGAAAAUUCAAAAGCUAAACUUAAUUGAAGAAACUAAGACUCCUCAUGAUGAUGCAUCUUGUUGGCAACAUUGCACUGCUUUCUGAUCUCACCUUGUGUGCCAGUGAGAGGGUUGUUUUCAGAGAGCAAGGUGAUAGCUCUUGAAAACUCCUUGAAGAAAUAGUCUUGGCUCUUAGCCAUUUUCUUGACAUAAGGCUUGGUCCUCUUAUCAGUGGCUAAUUGGUGAUCCACGACCAAAAGUCCCUUGUUGUCCAAGAUGUUCCUGUAAUAGUUGUUGUCUAAAACCAUGGGUGUGCCACGGUCAUUUCUCACGUACUGCACGGCCUUCGGGUCUGGAAUGGAGUCAGGGCACUUCUUAAGCAUGUGAGGAACAUGGUCUGGGUUGAUAACUGGGUCAACCUCUGGGUAUAAACGGUGCACCAACUUCACACAGUGUGUUCUACCAACACUGUGUGCUCCUGUUCAACACAACAAGAUCAAUAAUUAUGUAAGUUAAAAACUAUAAUUAAGACAUGUAUCAUGUAUGUAUAUGUUAUAAUGUUACACAUGUUAGUAUGUAUAAUGAAUCAUGUCAUGUUGACCCCACAUGUAUUUAUUGAAAGAGAAUAUGAUGGAUAAACUUUGGCAUUUUAAUCAAGGCCAUUCACGUGGGUAUGGGACGUUUUUGAAUUCAUGGCCAUCAUGAUAUUUUUUCAACGUCGACAAUACGGCACAAACAAACAACAUAAUUCAUGUCAACGGUGUUGCAGUGGGAAAGGAUCUCAUCACUGAAUCCAAUGACCAAUUUUAAUUUUUUAUAAUUAAUAUGACAUGUUUUUAUCAGUGCGGGAAUAGUAAUGAGCAGUUACCGAGCAAAGCAACAACGCCCGGGGUGUCAAUACCCAUGGCACCAAACUUGUGAAGAACAGAGGAAAUGGACUCAUUGUGGUCAGGGAGGUACUGUUCCACUACUUCAGCUCUGCUCCUUCUACCAUCCCUUCUUCCUGUUUUUAGAGCUAUAUGUGGACCUCCUAGCUGCAAGAAACAAACAUACCAAGUUAACAACACUCUUCAUUAACUAUAAUCUUAAGAUGGAUAAGGGAAUUACCGAAACAAUGCCAUCUCUGGCAGAAAGAACAAGGAUAUCAGCACAGGAAACAACUCCAGGGCACUCCCUUUCCACGGCUUCUUUAAUGGUCUCAAUGUACCUAAAGUUCCUCAGCCCAAAGCUCCUAUCAGUUUCCUUCUCAGACAAGCUCCUUCUUGUUGAAUCCAGCAACAGUGAAGCAUCACAUCUCUAACCUCAUCAAAAACAUUCUAGUAAUUAGUUAAAGGGACAGUAUAGCAAAUACUAAAAACUAAUGGAAGUCAAGGUUGGUGUUACCUGAACAGCACAAUCAUGGAAAAUGUUCCUGAGCCAGGAGAAAGCAGUGUUCUUGUGACGCUUGUAAAGAAGCUUCACUUGUUCUGUGAUAACUUCUUCAGCCUGAGGACAUGUUUCCUUGUAAUAGUUCAUAACAAGACCAGGAUUUUGCUCUUCUUCUGCAAAAACAGGACUCAGCAGGGACACUGCUGAAAAGGAUAAUAGAACCAAAAACAUGAAAACUCUUGGACCCAUUUCUCUCUCCUCUCACUACUAACUAUGCUCACUCACCUACUUUACUCCCCUCUCUGCUACUUCUUAAAUAACCAAAUACCGCAGUAUCAAGAUAAAUGUGCUACCAGUCAAAUAUUCAAAAUGCAACUUGGUGUAUAGCGGUAACCAACCCAUUGCAGAAUGUUUAUUUUAGUUAUUAAAACAACGAAAAUUAUGGAAAUUAUCAAAUGAUAAUCAAAAUAUCACAUGUUCAAUUCAUUGUAAGCGAGGAUAACAACAGAAUUCGAAAAAGAUUAGUUAUUUAUCCUAAUAAAAAAUAUGGAAUUAUGGCUUUUAGAAUUUAAAUAGUUGCUGUUAGUGAAGGAAAAUAUAUAGUUACUGAAAUUGUGCAUAAGAAACAAUAACCCAGAAGGUUAUUUAUCAAAAAAUACAGUAACUUAACAAGAACUCAAAAAGUUACACCAAAAAACAUGAUAAAAUAGUUUUUUUGGGUACACUUCUAAUACUUCUUUUGUUCAUACGUAACUAACUUUACAUAGAAAUAAAAUUGGCCAUUUUGGGACCUUUUGUAAAUUUAGAGCUUCCGAGUUUCAGUUAAUGAAAUAUAAGUUUUGGAAUUUUCGAUUUUUAUCAAACGCUCACAGUGAUAGACAACGAAAUUUUACCGAUUAGUUACUUACUGGCCAUUAUAUAAGAAGUUUUGUUAUCCUAAUUUUGGGUUGAAAAAGAUGGGAAGUGGUGGGGUAGAAGCACUUACGGGAAAUGCUGAAAUUUAAUUUAGUUAUGCUCAUUUAUUAUUGAGUGUAACAUCUGGAAAAAAAUGUGAAUACUCAUUUAUUAUUGAGUGUAACAUCUAUACACGUGUCAAAGAUAGUGCAAACUUUUUGACUAAAAAAUGUAUACUAACCAUGUAAAAGUACAUCAUGCACAAUUCAUUUUUAUUGAUGAUUGACUUUUAAAUAUGAAUAUAUUUUUUUUACCUCUCUAUAUUGUUUGGAUGGAUGCCCCACCACUAUAUGUUUGCUUACGUGUUCUGAUAAGAAAGGCCUUCGGGUCUGGAAUGGAGUCGGGCACUUCUUAAGCAUGUGAGGAACAUGGUCUGGGUUGAUAACUGGGUCAACCUCU
rnacentral:lncRNA from 1 species